CACAGGCUUAGCUGGACCACAGCACGUGGGAUCUUAGUUCCAGGACUAGGGAUUGAACCUUCGUCCUCUUCAUUCCAAGAUAAGUUCUUAACUGCUGGACCACCAGGGAAGUCCCAGGAUCCUAACAACUUACGUAAGAGAAGAUGGUGAUGAAAGGUGAACUCCCAGGGUGUAUAUAGGGGCAAAGACUCUUACUUUUGACCUUUACUUUUCCCCCACCAUGCCGAGGAAACUUCUGGUUGCAACAGUAGCAGUUGGGAGUGACUGCAGACGGGGCCUGAGAGAGGUGAAGAGCACCAGAUCCUUGGGCUUUCAGAGGUGCUAUCUCCCUUCAAGCUCACAGAAUUCCCACUUCAGAGAUGGAGACACUGAACCUCCCUGAGAUUGGGAGACUGGCCCGGAGUCACUUUGCUUCAAAAACGAUAUAACACUGAUCAUAGGUCUCAGCGCGGUUGACUGGGGAGGGGACAGAGCAAAGCUGUAAAGAGAAGUCUUGAGGUAGUGGGGCCCCUGGGAGGGAGAAGGGGCACGUCUUAUUCUGUUUGUACAGGUGCAUUGUAAUGCUGCCUGUGGUGUGAACAUUUUCCACUUCAUUACUCCUGGCCUGGACCCAGGCCCCGUCUGCUCCCCUGGCCCCUGCCUUGGUUUAAUUUCAGUGGUUCCUGGCCUUUGGAAGCCAGCAGUCACAGAAAGGAAAACAAAUGAGGUCGCUAUAAACAUUUCUGCACAUUGCCCAACUUGGGCAGAUGGGUACAUUCAUAGAGCAGGAGAGGGGGCCGGCUUGGCUGUACCCCCAUCAAAGCACCUCAAUCCCCAAGAGCUUCUGAGUGCUAAGCUCAGUCUUUCUAACUGGAGUUGGCUUAGGUUUAAGGUAUAAACAUGGGCCAUAACAGAUACCCAAAUGCCCAGGACACUGUUGGUGGAGUCUCUAAGAGACGAUUGAACAGAAUGAAUAAUAACUAAUAUUUAUUGAGCACUUACUAUGUGCUAGGUGCUGUCCUAAUCACUUUGGAUGAAUUUUAGAGUGAGGCUGUUGUUCAGUUGCCAAAUUGUGUCUGACUCUUUGCAACCCCUUGGAGCCUGCAGCAUGCCAGGCUCCUCAGUCCUCCACUGUCUCCCAUCCUGUUAUUAUUCUAAUUUUUCGCAGAUGAGGA
ensembl:lncRNA